rnacentral:rRNA from 1 species
AUUGAACGCUGGCGGAAUGCUUUACACAUGCAAGUCGAACGGCGGCACGGGGCAACCUGGUGGCGAGUGGCGAACGGGGGAGUAAUACAUCGGAACGUGCCCAAUCGUGGGGGAUAACGUAGCGAAAGUUACGCUAUUACCGCAUACGAUCUACGGAUCAAAGCGGGGGAUCGCAAGGCCUCCGGCGAAUGGAGCGGUCGAGGUAAGAUUAGGUAGUUGGUGGGGUAAAGGCUCACCAAGCCAACGAUGUGUAGGUGGUCUAAGAAGACGACCCGACACACGGGAACUGGGACACGGCCCAGACUCCUACGGGAGGCAGCAGUGGGGAAUUUUGGACAAUGGGCGCAAGCCUGAUCCAGCCAUGCCGCGUGCGGGAAGAAGGCCUUCGGGUUGUAAACCGCUUUUGGCAGGAACGAAGCGGCGCAAGCCAAUACCUUGCGCUAGUGACGGUACCUGCAGAAUAAGCACCGGCUAACUACGUGCCAGCAGCCGCCGUAACAC